CGGCCCUGGCACUUUGUCUUCAUUUAUUCUGCCCGCUCUCUCUCCUCACGGCGGCACCAGGCGCACCGGCGGCGGGAAGCCCUCCGCCGAGGAGAUAUCGCUUCAUUUCGGAGAGAUCACCAGACUGGGCCACAGCAACACGUGGCAGGGGACUCUAGUAGAAUAAUAGAAUCCUUGAGUUGGAAGAGACUUCGUGGGCCAUCCAGUCCAACCCCUGCCAAGAAACAGGAAAAUCGCAUUCAAAGCACCCCUGACAGAUGGCCAUCCAGCCUAUGCUUAAAAGCUUCCAAAGAAGGAGCCUCCAACACAUUCCAGGGCAGAGAGUUCCACUGCUGAACAGCUCUCACAGUCAGGAAAUUCUUCCUCAUGUUCAGGUGGAAUCCCCUUUUCUUGUAGUUUGAAACUAUUGUUUUGCAUCCUAGUCUCCACGGCAGCAGAAAACAAACUUGCUCCUGCUUCCCCAUGAGGACGAGCGAGUAUAUAGAUUAUACUACCUCUUGUCAGAGAAACUCCUUGGGCCUUUUCACUCUCCAGUCAUUUUACUCAGAAUUUGUUCACGGGAGAAGUGCUAGGACAUACCUUUUGCCAAGCAUCCGUGGCGUAGGAAAAUCAGCCCUCCACAACAUCUACAUUUAUGUGUGCAUUUGUGUGCAUCCAUGCAUGAAUCUGCAUGCAAUUUUAAUGUAUUUGCAAGUUCCUGAACUGCCUUAUGGGCCUUUUGAUGGAUAGCCAAAAAAUAAACAGAACCAAACAGUGCAAUAAUAUGCAAAAGCAUAAAAUUGCCCCUCUUAAAACUUAGGCAAAACCAUGUAUAAAAUGGACAAUAGUAACUGAUAGCCAAGCAAGUAACGAAACUUGUUGAAUUUUUAAAGACCUUUAUUUUAGUAUUGGUGAUAGAACUACAGUAUAUGAAUUUUAUACCUUAGACCACUGCUAAGAAUGCCUUGCUUUUGGAAAGUAGUAAAGGUAAAGUUUUCCCCUGA